rnacentral:lncRNA from 10 species
GCCCCGCGCGAGCCGGGCUCCCCCGGCGCCCUCCCGCAUCCGCCGCUCCCGGCCCCGCCUGGCCGCAGGGCCCGGGUAGGAAGGACGGGACCGGCCCGGUGGAGACCUGGCCCCACUGCACGAGGGUCCCUGGAGAUGCCAUUCUGAGCCGAGAAGCGGCUGCUCUGGCCGAGGCCGUUUGCGUGGCAGCGCCUGCAGGUCUGCGGGUUAGUCCCAUCCUCAAGCCACAUUCUGGGUCCCGGGCAGAAAAAGUCAGGCCACUGAAGGGGCCGCUGUGAGGACAGGGGCGAGGAGAAGGGGGUUCACUUUUCGGCCUGCCUUCGCGGCGUUCCUAAUACCCGAGCUGCCGUUUAACAUACGCGUGGCUCUUCAGCUCAGCCAAGUUCAUUUUUCUGUAGGUAGCUGAAAAUGAUACUAGAAGCAAAACUGGCUGUCCGUGUCUGAAACAGGAAACUUGCAUAUUCUGGAGCAGAACUCUUUCUCAGUAGAGCGAAUCCUGCAACUGGUGUGGGCAGAGACCCAGUCCUCAGAAGUACAGAGCACCUCAUCCACUCAGAUGACUUCAUUCGUGGCUGCUACAGAAAGCAGACCACCCACCGUGAUCAUCUGGCUUUGUUCUUACAGAAGCCAGGUUGAAGCUACCCCAUACCCAAGUAGCCCCAUCCAAUGGGAAAUUCCAAAUCAAGGCCUCCAAAGAGGUAAGUCCUGGAAUACUGGAGUCAAAAUGGGCCCCAAAACAGACAGUUCACAAUUAAAUUCCCCAGAAGAGCAGGAACUUUGCUCUGGAAGUGCAGGCUUGUGGAGGUUACUCAAAUGGACUAAAUUGUUCAAAAGGCAGCCAUGCACAAGUUACAGGUCCAUUGUAUCAGUAUCUGUCCUUGACUUUGUAUCCAAAGCAGAGUCUUCUAUGUGGGCAGGGUGAAAAGAGGCUUGCCCAGAAUCAAACAGUCCUGAUCACAGUAUCUCCCUGCCCUCAGAUUUGCUAAUCAGAAAACCACCGCUACACAGUUGCAAAGACACCUCCCCCAAGGCCUUCGCCUGCCCUCAGGACACCCACUAAGACUUGGAUGUCCACACUGAAACGUGUCCUUUUGGCUUUCCAGCUCGGUUCCCAAAAGCCAGUCAAACCACAGUGGAAGCCUCCCCCGUGUUCUACAUCCUGUGCCCUGAGUGGAGUUUUGUGAAAUUGCCUUAGGUUGCUAAGGGCAAAACUGUGCCCAGACAAAAAUAAGCAAACCGAAUUUCUCUUGUGUUCCCUUACCCUUUUUCAUGACUGCUCUCAUUCCGCUCUCCUCUCCACUAGCCCGGGUGUCUGGGACGCUUGUGUGGUUUCUAGGCUCUCCCAAAAUAGUCCCCUAUCCAGCCCUUCCCUCCCUGAGAAUUGCCCCAGUCCAUUUGUCCUUCUCCCCACCCCUAGCUCUAUUAAAAAUGACCUCAUUUGUGUCUCAUUCUGAUCAGGCCUUGGGCUCUUCUUUACAAAGUGGCAAUCCUAGUCUGUCAACUGGCCCGUGUGUUCAUGGGUUUAUACCCUCUCCCCAGCCAGGUCACCCCUGAACUUAAACAUGGCCUCAUGAAAACCAGGUCCCCAUGAUCACCCUAAGGUAACCUAUAAAGCUCUAGCCCAGGAAGGCAGGAAGAUGACUGCUAGGAGACAUAUUUCAGGAGUGACAGGUCAGAGGUAGCCCUCAACUUUUUUAAAAAGUGCCAUGUUCUCUAUUGUUACACUCUAUGAUUACUGCACUGAGGGCCCAUCCUGACUCCUCUGGAAUUCCCUGCAAAUAUGGAGUUCGGGUAUAACUUCAGCAGGGAUAAAAAUUCGAUGGUACAUAACUGACAAUUUAUCAAAUUAAGAAAUAGAACAUGCGGCCGGGCGCGGUGGCUCAAGCCUGUAAUCCCAGCACUUUGGGAGGCCGAGGCGGGCGGAUCACGAGGUCAGGAGAUCGAGACCAUCCUGGCUAACACGGUGAAACCCCGUCUCUACUAAAAAUACAAAAACUUAGCCGGGCGAGGUGGCAGGCGCCUGUAGUCCCAGCUACUCGGGAGGCUGAGGCAGGAGAAUGGCGUGAACCCGGGAGG